UGCACUGACGACGGACACCCAAGCAACACAGAGACAGCCAUUGCUAAGCACCACUGAAUCUGGUGAGGAGCUGGGUCGACUUCCUAGCGGUUCACUCAUCCAUGACAGCCACACCAAUAACCCCGUUAUGAACUGGGGCACUUCAAUUUUUUCUGAACUAUCCAAAAAAAAUUAUUCUAAAAAAUAUUAUUGAGCUUAACCGGACUUUCCUCAUCCCUCACAUAAGACUGGAAUCGCUUGAUAUCUUUUUGAAGAAAUCAAUCGAUGUUUCCAUGAAUUAUCUUUUCGAAGAAAUUAAUCAAUGACAUCGGAACAGCAUGAUGAAGAUGGAACAGCGAAAAAAGAUCAUGCAAUUGGAACGUGGCGGUUGCGAUAAUUUUAAAAAAAAGUUUCACGGCUGCAAUAGCCAUCAAAGGGCUAGAAUCAAAGUGGGAAGUACUGGUUCCAUAACCUGAAUCAAACUGGGGAUUGAAUCAGAAGAUUAAUGCCAGCUCCUUAUAUUGAAAACAACAAAACUUUGAAGAGUCAAAAUGGUGCCUGGACCUUUGUCCUCCAUCUACUUAGAUCUCUGCCUCAUCUUUCUGCGCUUCCUCUUCAACCUCCUCAUGCGCUUCUUCUUCCACUGCAAAAAAAAGGAAGGAAAAAUGAAACUUUCGGAAAGGGUUGAUUUCAAGCUAAUGUUACUGGAUUAACGUAAUUUGAAGAAUCAGGCUAACAAGAAAUUUUGGUCUUCCAUCCAUAUCGUAGAGAAAAGCUUGUUUGGCCCAAUGUCUACUUUUUACUAGGGAAAUAAAAGCAUACACUAAUCCGCAUGAUAAGAAUUGCACGUAUAGACUCAGAUCUGGAAAAAAUAGUACAAAAUUGUACAAAAUAUGCUAUAAGCGUCAAUGAAGUAGAUUCCAAAAAAAUACCACUAAAUUUUACUAAGUCAGGGUUCUGAUUAGAACGUCAAUUCCAGCAUGAAAAACUAGCCUUUAGUGGAGAAGUAAUGAAUCAAUCCAAAGCAUUUAUUAGGGUUCUGAGGUAUACUUAUGGUAAUUAACGUAUUGUCUCUGUCUUCAGCAUUGAGGGCUUUAGAGUAAAUACUCUAUCCAAUAUUUCUCCACGGAAACCAAAAUUAGUAGAAAAUAAAGAAGAACAGGGGGAGGAAGAGUACGAUAAUAAGGAUAAUGAUAAUCAAAGGAAGAAAUGUAAGAAAGAAAUGCGAAAUGACUUUAUUGUGGUACAAAUGGCCUUAGGUUAUUGUUAUGUCUCCUUAUUAUAAAUUUCAUUCUUUCCACUCUUUCAUUCCCUUUUUCUUGAUAUUAUAGAUCAGAACUGAGGUCAGCUAGUCGGACAUUCAACAUAUGGAGAACGGUGCGAUGGUACAUUCGUAAUUCCCUGCAGUAUAGCACAAUUUAACACCACAGAUCGUAUAGGACAUGUCUCUAGAAAUAAGGCAUAGUGAUCUACGUUGAAAAGUUUAUCCUAGAGAAACCUACACCACCAAAAUUCGACAAACAACCGAAAAGCAAGAGAAGACAUUCCAGCCGUUGACCUAAGAGAGACAACAUGAAAAAGUAUAUAGCGGAAGACCACUGCUGCCACAUUUUCAGAGUAUCGGAAUCAGAAACGUCUGCGACAGUGCACCAUAACGGAAGACAUGAAAAUCAUAAAACAGCCCUCAAUUUGCAAAAGGAUUUAGGCCAAAAAAUAUAGGCGAAAUGAAAAGCUUGCCCAAGUUUAUAUGGAAUAAGAAAAAAUCAAUCUAAUGGAAGUAGAAAGACGGAAAUCACAAUGAAAAUGAGUCAGUUUCUACAUGAUCGACUGUGGAGACAACCAGUAUUCCUAGUUAUUCACAUUGCGAACUACCCAGAGACAUCGCACAGCAAAUGAUGCCAUGGAUAUUUCGAUGUCAUAUUCUUCGAAAAAAAAUGCACACUCAGUCAAUGUCUAAUCAAAGGAAACGCACUGCCGGAGUCGAGGCACGAAGACAGAUCUAUCAACUAUGCCAGCCACCCGGAUCAAAUAGAGAAUACGCAUGGAGCAAACAGGAAUCUACAGACCCAGCCGUGAACGCAAACGAAACGGGAAAUCGGCCGAAGAAAAGUGAAAAUGGUGGAUGAAAGUUUAUCACUGAUCCUACCUUCGCCCUCAUGAUCGCCGGUAUUCCCCCCGCGCGGCCCCCUGCUUCUCGUCUGGAGGCUGCUGCGAAGAGAGGGAAGAGAGAGGGAGAGAGGGGGAGAGCGAGGUCUGCGAUUUAUAGGAUAUGUUU
rnacentral:lncRNA from 1 species